GUUUUUGCCUGCCCAGUUUGACCUCCUACUUAUUUUUGGACUGAGCCGUUGCCUGGUUCUCUUGCCUGUUGAUCACUACCCACUUCCUGACUUCACCUCCUGCUUGUUCUUACCUGCUUUUGUUUGCUCGGCUUAAUAAAGUUUUGGAGAAUCAAGCUUCAGAGUCAAGAGUCAGCAUGACAGCAUCUACAGGAUACUGGCAUCACCUCAGGUCAACAACAGUUAACACUCCUCCAUUAAGACAGCUGGGAGGAAACGGAGAAGAAAGUGAUAGCAAAGAAGACAAAGAGGGGACUCCUUGACAGCAUCCCUGAGUGGCAGUUUGAAGCAUUUAACUUGACGCAAGUUAAUAAAAAGUGCUCAGA